GCAGUGUCCUCGCUGAUGGUGCGCUUCCUCCACCUGCCCCGCGCCGCCCCCACCCUCACCUACCGCCCCCUCCUCCCGCUCCCUCCCCCGCGCCUGCGAGUGGCCGCGUCGGCCUCGGCACCCCUCGCCGCCAUGUCGACGGCGGCGCAGCAGGCGGUCGCCGACCAGAAGCGCGCGGUGCGGUCCGACGUGCGCAGGGCGCUCAAGGCCCUCUCCCCCGAUCAGCGCGCCAGCGAAGAUCUGGCUAUUCAAAACAAUAUUUUGAACUCUUCUUGGUUCAAAGCAAGCAAACGGUUGUGUGCCUAUAUAAGCUGUGCGCAAUUGCGAGAAGUUGAUACAUCAAAAAUAAUAGCAGAAGUUCUAUCCUCAGAUCCUGAACAUGAUGGACAAGCAAAGGAUAUCUAUGUUCCUCGAGUGGAAGAUAAAAACCGCAAUAUGCGGAUGUUCAAAAUCACGACCAUGGAUGAUUUAGUUAAAAAUUCAAUGAACAUUCUGGAACCGUCACCAUUGGAUGCUAGUGGGAAUGCUCGUGAAGAUGUGUUGUCAGCCUCAUCCCCUGUUGAUCUUUUUGUGUUGCCCGGACAAGCUUUUGACAGAACUGGCCGAAGACUAGGACGUGGUGGAGGGUACUAUGAUACUUUCUUGAUGAGAUACCAAGAACUUGCUAAAGAGAAAGGGUGGAGUCAGCCUCUUCUAGUUGCACUUUCGUACUCGGUGCAAAUUCUGGAGGAAGGCAUCAUCCCGGUUAACUCAACAGAUGUUCCUAUUGAUGCUCUGGUCACAUCCUCUGGCAUUAUUCCAAUCAGUCCUGCAGCACUGGAGAAGGUGUAA
rnacentral:rRNA from 1 species